rnacentral:rRNA from 1 species
GAUGAACGCUGGCGGCGUGCUUAACACAUGCAAGUCGAACGAUGAAGCCCAGCUUGCUGGGUGGAUUAGUGGCGAACGGGUGAGUAACACGUGAGUAACCUGCCCUUGACUCUGGGAUAAGCCUGGGAAACUGGGUCUAAUACUGGAUAUGACUUCUCAUCGCAUGGUGGGGGGUGGAAAGAUUUAUUGGUCUUGGAUGGACUCGCGGCCUAUCAGCUUGUUGGUGAGGUAAUGGCUCACCAAGGCGACGACGGGUAGCCGGCCUUGGAGGGUGACCGGCCACACUGGGACUGAGACACGGCCCAGACUCCUACGGGAGGCAGCAGUGGGGAAUAUUGCACAAUGGGCGCAAGCCUGAUGCAGCGACGCCGCGUGAGGGAUGACGGCCUUCGGGUUGUAAACCUCUUUCAGUAGGGAAGAAGCGAGAGUGACGGUACCUGCAGAAGAAGCGCCGGCUAACUACGUG